CUUACCUGCCGAGGAGGGGGUAUAACCAACAAGAACUGCUAACUCUUGUGCCUGGAAUUAAAACU
rnacentral:tRNA from 1 species